UACGGGGGGGGGUAAGCGUUGUUCGGAAUUACUGGGCGUAAAGGGCUCGUAGGCGGCCAACUAAGUCGGACGUGAAAUCCCUCAGCUUAACUGGGGAACUGCGUCCGAUACUGGAUGGCUUGGAUUUGGGAGAGGGAUGCGGAAUUCCAGGUGUAGCGGUGAAAUGCGUAGAUAUCUGGAGGAAUACCGGUGGCGAAGGCGGCAUCCUGGACCGACAUUGACGCUGAACGGCGAAAGCUAGGGGAGCAGACGGG
rnacentral:rRNA from 1 species